UUUGUCUCCUGCCUUGUUCUCAGAUUUCAGUUUCUCUAGUGGUAAGAUGCUACUAGGAAAAGACCCAUUUUGCUGGAUUUACAAGAGCCUGAAUUUGCUGAUGGAACCUGCUUCCAAAGGACCAAGCUCACUAAAAUAACAUUUGAUAGAAGGAGACGGAUAUUCUUCAUUGAAUCCAGCUUUUAACUGGCUCCUGUCAAGAGACAUUUGGAUUGACAGCACAGUGGGAAAUACCUGAAGUGUCAUCUCCCACCUGAAUGCACGUGUUGAUGGAUAAAAUUGCUGUUUGGUUCUUCUUCCCCUGCUCCUCUUCGCCACCUUUCGAAGGGAUGUUCCAAAAGGAGGUAUCUGAUACCCUCAGGAUAUCGCCUGUGCUCUCUAGCGGGGAGCCUGGCGCAGAGAAGCCGUGUAGCUGCCGCUAGGGUCCAAGCAGAAAGGGGGGACAGCUGAACGCAGAGCUGCAUUUUGAGAGCAAACGGUGAGACUGAUUAUGGGCAGCAGUUUGGAAACUGGCUCAACUUAAGGACACGGCGUUCAAAACUAUUCUCGGCUGCUCACAGAGCUCAGUCACUGCAUCUUCAAAGCUUGAAGCCAUGUGAUCAGUUUUUGCCAACUGAGAGUUUUCUGGAAACAAAGAUGCAAAGAGUGAAACAAUUUAGUAACAACUUUAACAAUUUAACAGUUCUAACGAAAGAAACACAUUUACUUAUUCAGGGGACUGGUUUUCUGAGCUUUGGUGGAGGCAGGCUUCGCUGCCUGUCAUAGGGAUGCUGUUUAUCUCCCAAAAGUUUGUGCUGUUUCCCUGCCUCUCCUCUUCUUUCCUUAGGAAAUGAGUAUUUUAGCUGGGGGGAUUCCUACUACCCCCUUACUAACCAGUAGUAAUUAAUGAAGGCACAGAAUCGGACAAGACCUAAUGAGACAAACUGAAUGAGACCGUUCAAAGCGUCAUCAUUACAGAGAUUUCUGGUUUAUUACGACUCCGUACGCCUGAGAGGAGGCUGGGCGGCAGCAGCCGCUGCUGCGGGGGGCACGUGAAACAGAACUGCGCUCCCGGGCAAGUAGGAUA